rnacentral:tRNA from 13 species
UGGUUCCGCCCGGGAUCGAACCGGAGACCUUUCGCGUGUAAAGCGAAUGUGAUAACCACUACACUACGGAACC